UACGGAGGUGGCAAGCGUUGCUCGGAAUCACUGGGCGUAAAGGGCGCGUAGGCGGGGAGGUAAGUCGGGUGUGAAAUCCCUCGGCCCAACCGAGGAACUGCGCCCGAGACUGCUUCUCUUGAGUCCCGGAGAGGAAGAUGGAAUUCCCGGUGUAGCGGUGAAAUGUGUAGAGAUCGGGAGGAACACCGGUGGCGAAGGCGGUCUUCUGGACGGUGACUGACGCUGAGGCGCGAAAGCUAGGGUAGCAAACGGG
rnacentral:rRNA from 1 species